GGUCCCAUCGUCUAGCGGUCCAGGACGCCGGCCUCUCACGCCGGUAACACGGGUUCGAGUCCCGUUGGGACUACCA
rnacentral:tRNA from 1 species